GUUCCUUUGGUCGCUCGCUCCUCUCCUACUUGGAUAACUGUGGUAAUUCUAGAGCUAAUACAUGCCGACGGGCGCUGACCCCCUUCGCGGGGGGGAUGCGUGCAUUUAUCAGAUCAAAACCAACCCGGUCAGCCCCUCUCCGGCCCCGGCCGGGGGGCGGGCGCCGGCGGCUUUGGUGACUCUAGAUAACCUCGGGCCGAUCGCACGCCCCCCGUGGCGGCGACGACCCAUUCGAACGUCUGCCCUAUCAACUUUCGAUGGUAGUCGCCGUGCCUACCAUGGUGACCACGGGUGACGGGGAAUCAGGGUUCGAUUCCGGAGAGGGAGCCUGAGAAACGGCUACCACAUCCAAGGAAGGCAGCAGGCGCGCAAAUUACCCACUCCCGACCCGGGGAGGUAGUGACGAAAAAUAACAAUACAGGACUCUUUCGAGGCCCUGUAAUUGGAAUGAGUCCACUUUAAAUCCUUUAACGAGGAUCCAUU
rnacentral:rRNA from 1 species